GAUAAAGAACGUAGCGAAAUGCGAUAAGUAAUGUGAAUUGCAGAAUUCAGUGAAUCAUCGAAUCUUUGAACGCACAUUGCGCCCGCUAGUAUUCUGGCGGGCAUGCCUGUUCGAGCGUCAUUUCAACCAUCAAGCUCCUUAGCUUGUGUUGGGGACCUGCGGCUGCCGCAGCCCCCGAAAUGCAGUGGCGGGCUCGUUGUCACACCGAGUGCAGUAAUCAUUCUUCUCUCCGGGCGUGGCGGCGGGUUCCGGCCGUAAAAUCACCAAUUUAUCAAGGUUGACCUCGGAUCAGGUAGGAAUACCCGCUGAACUUAAGCAUAUCAAUAAGCGGAGGA
rnacentral:misc_RNA from 1 species